CCAAUAGCGUAUAUUAAAGUUGUUGCAGUUAAAAAGCUCGUAGUUGAAUUUCGGGACCAAUAUGUCGGUCGUGCUUCGGUACGUACUUGCAUUAUUGGUUUCUCCCUUCUGAAGAACCGUGAUGUCAUUAAUUUGGUGUCUUGGGGAAUCAGGACUGUUCCUUUGAAAAAAUUAGAGUGUUUAAAGCAGGCUCACGCUUGAAUACAUUAGCAUGGAAUAAUUAAAUAGGACGUUUGAUUCUAUUUUGUUGGUUUCUAGGAUCGACGUAAUGAUUAAUAGGGAUAGUUGGGGGCAUUAGUAUUCAAUUGUCAGAGGUGAAAUUCUUGGAUUUAUUGAAGACUAACUACUGCGAAAGCAUUUGCCAAGGAUGUUUUCAUUAAUCAAGAACGAAAGUUAGGGGAUCGAAGACGAUCAGAUACCGUCGUAGUCUUAACCAUAAACUAUGCCGACUAGGGAUCGGAUGAUGUUAAUUUUUUAAUGACUCAUUCGGCGCCUUACG
rnacentral:rRNA from 1 species